UACAGAGGUCCCAAGCGUUGUUCGGAUUCACUGGGCGUAAAGGGCUCGUAGGUGGCCAACUAAGUCAGACGUGAAAUCCCUCGGCUUAACCGGGGAACUGCGUCUGAUACUGGAUGGCUUGAGUUCGGGAGAGGGAUGCGGAAUUCCAGGUGUAGCGGUGAAAUGCGUAGAUAUCUGGAGGAACACCGGUGGCGAAGGCGGCGUUCUGGACUGCAACUGACACUGAAAAACGAAAGCCAGGGGAGCAAACGGG
rnacentral:rRNA from 1 species